rnacentral:rRNA from 1 species
UACAGAGGGUGCGAGCGUUAAUCGGAAUUACUGGGCGUAAAGCGUGCGUAGACGGUUAUGUAAGUCGGAUGUGAAAGCCCCGGGCUCAACCUGGGAAUGGCAUUCGAGACUGCAUAGCUAGGAUGCGGAAGAGGGAAGUGGAAUUUCCGGUGUAGCGGUGAAAUGCGUAGAUAUCGGAAGGAACAUCAGUGGCGAAAGCGACUUCCUGGUCCAGCAUCGACGUUCAGGCACGAAAGCGUGGGGAGCAAACAGG